AGAGAAUCGAGGUCUUUGAGAGUACAACUUCGCAUUGCACAAAAAUUAGGUCAGACUUAGACUUUUUUAAGGGGGCUGCUGAGAACAAGCACAGCUUAGACCAGGCGGGCAUAUUAGUUCUCCAUAGGGAAAAAAGGGCACUUCUGACAAGGGGAUGCUUCGAGACCUACUACACUGAUGGAUCAGUAGCUAACAGACACUCUA
rnacentral:lncRNA from 1 species